UACAGAGGGUGCGAGCGUUAAUCGGAAUUACUGGGCGUAAAGCGUGCGUAGACGGUUAUGUAAGUCAGAUGUGAAAGCCCCGGGCUUAACCUGGGAAUGGCAUUUGAGACUGCAUAGCUAGGAUGCGGAAGAGGGAAGUGGAAUUUCCGGUGUAGCGGUGAAAUGCGUAGAUAUCGGAAGGAACAUCAGUGGCGAAAGCGACUUCCUGGUCCAGCAUCGACGUUCAGGCACGAAAGCGUGGGGAGCAAAC
rnacentral:rRNA from 1 species